CUUCUAGAACUCUCAUCCCUGAAUUCUCUUCUCCUAAUUUUGAGGAGGAGUGGGUGUGGCAAUCAUGCAUUGAUUUCCCCACUGAAUAUUUCAGAAAGCUGCACCUUCUUUUAUGGAGCUUAUCUUUCUCCAGCCAAGACAUCCAAAAUGACAUGCUAUUGGAAGACAUUUCUGUCUAUGUUAAUACCUGUGUUUAAAUUUUUUUUUGUUGUGGUUUAAAAAAAAAUGAUCAUGAUGUGAUAGCAAAUGAAUGUUGGCAAAUUACCAACUGACAGGCGUAAAAUUUUAUGAACGUGCACAUUCCAAAGGAAUGUGGAAAUAAGCCAUCCACUGUAGUCCAGUUUGGCAGAAAUAUUACAAAAAUAUAAGUUUGGCAUAUAUUGUAAUUCAUUUAAAGAUGCUUAAAAACCCAUCCAUCAACCUUGCAUGGAAGGUCAAAGAAACACAUGAAUCCCAAAUAAACAAUAACUGAUGUACAAGGAAAA